UACGAAGGGAGCUAGCGUUGUUCGGAAUUACUGGGCGUAAAGGGCGCGUAGGCGGUUUGACAAGUCGGAUGUGAAAGCCCUGGGCUCAACCCGGGAAUUGCAUUCGAUACUGUUUUACUUGAAUUCGGUAGAGGUUGGUAGAAUUCCCAGUGUAGAGGUGAAAUUCGUAGAGAUUGGGAAGAAUACCCGUGGCGAAGGCGGCCAACUGGACCGACAUUGACGCUGAGGCGCGAAAGCGUGGGUAGCAAACAGG
rnacentral:rRNA from 1 species